rnacentral:rRNA from 1 species
ACGACUCUCGGCAACGGAUAUCUCGGCUCUCGCAUCGAUGAAGAACGUAGCGAAAUGCGAUACUUGGUGUGAAUUGCAGAAUCCCGUGAACCAUCGAGUCUUUGAACGCAAGUUGCGCCCGAGGCCACCCGGCCGAGGGCACGCCUGCCUGGGCGUCACGCACCGU